rnacentral:lncRNA from 1 species
CCAUUCUAGGCCGGAGGUGCUGGAGCUGGACGAUAUCCAACGAGUCGAAGGCGAUCAGACAUGCAAGAAAAAUCUCUAUUGGAGGUUGCUCUAACGGAAAGCCUCCGACGCUCAAAUCAGAUUUUCUGUAAUGUGUGAGAAAAAGCGAAUGCUUAUGGGGAAGACAGAAGGCAUACCUUUUGGGGGUCCUCAGAUUAUUUUUUUAUAGGUAGAAUGGGAGCCUUAGAGAGGGGGGUCCUAAAAGAGCUUUUCGCCCCU